UAGUUGGUGGGGUAAAGGCCUACCAAGGCGACGAUCAGUAGCGGGUCUGAGAGGAUGAUCCGCCACACUGGAACUGAGACACGGUCCAGACUCCUACGGGAGGCAGCAGUGGGGAAUUUUGGACAAUGGGGGCAACCCUGAUCCAGCCAUUCCGCGUGAGUGAAGAAGGCCUUCGGGUUGUAAAGCUCUUUCAGCUGGAACGAAACGGUACAUCCUAAUACGGUGUGCUAAUGACGGUACCAGCAGAAGAAGCACSGGCUAACUACGUGCCAGCAGCCGCGGUAAUACGUAGGGUGCGAGCGUUAAUCGGAAUUACUGGGCGUAAAGCGUGCGCAGGCGGAUUGUUAAGCAAGAUGUGAAAUCCCCGGGCUUAACCUGGGGAAUGGCAUUUUGAACUGGCAGUCUAGAGUGUGUCAGAGGGGGGGUGGAAUUCCACGUGUAGCAGUGAAAUGCGUAGAGAUGUGGAGGAACACCAAAUGGGCGAAGGCAGCCCCCUGGGGAUAACACUGACGCUCAUGUACGAAAGCGUGGGUAGCAAACAGGAUUAGAUACCCUGGUAGUCCACGCCCUAAACGAUGUCAACUGGUUGUUGGGGGAGUGAAAUCCCUUAGUAACGAAGCUAACGCGUGAAGUUGACCGCCUGGGGAGUACGGUCGCAAGAUUAAAACUCAAAGGAAUUGACGGGGACCCGCACAAGCGGUGGAUGAUGUGGAUUAAUUCGAUGCAACGCGAAAAACCUUACCUACCCUUGACAUGUCCAGAACCCUGCAGAGAUGCGGGGGUGCCCGAAAGGGAAUUGGAACACAGGUGCUGCAUGGCUGUCGUCAGCUCGUGUCGUGAGAUGUUGGGUUAAGUCCCGCAACGAGCGCAACCCUUAUCAUUAGUUGCUACGCAAGGGCACUCUAAUGAGACUGCCGG
rnacentral:rRNA from 1 species